GACGAGAGACAAAAGGAGUCCGGUAAAUAACUGGUUAAUACCAGGAUGGGCGAGGUAAUAAAUAAUUUCAUUCUCAUUUCAUUGGUGAAGUAUACAUUACAAAGCCUUGAAGGCCAAAAAAAAGAGAGGAGGGGAUGAGGUAACGAAAAAUUCUCUUCUCAUUUCAUUGGCGAAGUGCACGUUACAAAGCCUUAAAAAAAAACAACAAACAAAACAAACAGCUCUAAAGAAGCUCGGCUUCAUCAGACUUCGAGCUCUCAGUUCCAGCCAUCGUCGAGAAUUACUUCAAGUACUUGGCUUCUUCUUCCAGUCCCCC
rnacentral:lncRNA from 1 species